rnacentral:piRNA from 1 species
UGGAGAGAGGUGUUCUUGGUCCUCAUGGU